rnacentral:lncRNA from 1 species
UUAGCGUUUCUUUGUUGAAACAAAUCUUUCUUUGUGUUUGAAAAUAUGGCUUUGGCUUUCACUUCAUCUGCAAUUCAUGGCUAUUUGUCCUCCUCUUCUUCUUCGUAUGAACACCCAAAGGUAACCCUUUACUCUUUUUUUUACCUUUUAUUGAUUCAAUCUUUAUCCUAGAAUGUGAUAAUUUCAAGCUUUUUAGCACCUCGGUUUCAAUUUUCUUGUGCGCUUGUAUCAGUUAUAUGUAGUUGUUUUUUCUCUGUUAUUUCAUGGCUCUUUUGUCUUCUUAUGAACAAUCCAAAGAUUUCCAUUACUUGUCCCUUUCAAAGUUUCAAUAUUUCUCCUAGAUUUGAUUGAUAUAUUUGGACAAUUUUAGCAUUUGGGCUCUUUUUUGUUUCAGAUUUUUGGUUUGUUUUGAUCCUUGUCUUCUUACUUAACAACCCAAAUGUAUAUGUUGAUUUUCCAUUUAAGAGUUUCAAUACUUAUCCUGAGUUUGAUUGGAGAAAUUUCAGAAUCUGAUUUGAAUUUUGUGUUAUUUGAUUUUGGGUUUUACCUAUUCUUUAAUUAAUUUGUUAUUGUGUGUAUGCAGUGUCCCAAUUGAAGAAGAAGAAAGGGGGGGGGGGGGGGGGGGUCAGAUGAGUGGGGAUGGGUGUGAUAGAUACUACCCAUUUUUGUAAAUGGGUCGGAUAAAGUAAAUGAGUUGAAAUAAUAUUCAUUUUUUGUUCCAGUCAAAGAUUGCCACGUGGCCCAAUUAAAAAUCGCUACAUCAUUAAAUGAAAGACUCACCAGUUCUGCCGUUAGUUGCGGGGGUAUUUUUGUUAAUAGAAUUAACUUCGUGUAUUUUUUUGAUCGGAUAAAUGGACGGAGUGUAUUUUUUUGAACGGAUAGAUAGACGAAGGGUAUUUAUAAACCAUUUAGCAAACUACAGGGAUAAUUUAGGCCCUUUUCCAUAGAAUUUUGUAAAAUCGUCUGAUUCGAUUUUGUGAAAAUAGCAUCAAGUAGCAUCGUUAACAGU